UGGCUUAGCGGCGGACGGGUGAGUAACGCGUGGACAACCUGCCCUAUGCAGGGGGAUAACAUCCGGAAACGGGUGCUAAUACCGCAUAAGCGCACAGUACCGCAUGGUACGGUGUGAAAAACUCCGGUGGUGUAAGAUGGACCCGCGUCUGAUUAGCUUGUUGGCGGGGUAGGGGCCCACCAAGGCGACGAUCAGUAGCCGGCCUGAGAGGGUGGACGGCCACAUUGGGACUGAGACACGGCCCAAACUCCUACGGGAGGCAGCAG
rnacentral:rRNA from 1 species